rnacentral:lncRNA from 1 species
AGCAGCAUUCAUGCUCACCUGAAGCCAGGAAGCCUCCUCAAGAAGGUUUAAGGAAUAGAUUAGUCUUAGCACCCUGAAGGCAAGGACUGUGGCUGGCCUUAUUGACCUCUUAUAGCACCAUCACCUGUCUCAGUACCUAACACAAAGGUGAUACUCAGAGGUAUUUGUGGACCAAAUGAAGAAAAUGCAAAUGUAUUGAUUUUAAUGGCAAAGUACCUUGACUUGAUUGGUAAGCAUCUCUCCAGCCCCAACCCCUGAUAUUCAGAAGCUGUGUUUAUUCCAUUGAAAGACAAACUUAUGGUUACCAACAGGGACAGGUUGGGGGCAGGGGAGAGAUGGACUGGGGGUUUUGGAUUGGCAUGUGCACACUGAGGGAUAUGGAAUGAUUGGUCAAUAGGGACCUGCUGUAUAGCAUAGGGAACUCUACCCAAUACGCUGUGAUCAUCUACGUGGGAAGAGAAUCUGAAAGAGAACAGAUGUGUGUACAUGUAUAACUGAAUCGCUUUGUUGUCUAGCAGAAAUGAUCCCAAUGUUAUAAAUCAACUAUACUUCAAUAAAACUUUCAAAAAUGAAAAACAAAAAGACAAAGCUAUGAAAUAUACCAGAAGUCAAAAGAACUGGGGUAAGUGAUGACAAAGAAGAAAGAGUGAGAACUUUGGUGUCAGACAGACAUGUUCAAACUCCAGCUCUCCUUCCUACUGACUCUGUGCCUUUUGAUUUUCCUCAAACUCUAUGCAGUUCUUUUUCCCCCGUCUGGAAAAUCAGGCGGAAAAUCAGGCAGUUUUUUGUUUUUUGUUUUUUUGUUUUUUUGUUUUUUUUUUUUUUUUUGAGCACAGAGUGCCUGUGGGAGAGGAAAUGCAAGAAAAGGCGCAGGCUGGUCAUCAAGAGCCUUGGGUUGCUGGCUAAUGGAUUUGAACUUCAAGCUAAAACCUUUGGGAUGCCCUUAAUGUAUUUUAAGCAAGGGAGAGGAAUCCUGAGAUCACAUUUGCAUUUGAUUAAAGUGGCUCUGGCAGAGCAAUACUGGAUUAGAAAAUGCUCACUCUUAACCUUUCCAGCUUCUCCACCUCAUUCCUCACACCUACUCUUUGGUCUUAGAGACCUGUGUACACAGCAUGGGCCUUGGUUUCUUGACCUCUGAGCUUUUGCAUAUACAAUUCCUUCUUCUUAGGACAUGCUUUUCCUCUUUAGAGUAUUAUUCAUAAAGAAAAAAAAGAAAAGAAAACCACCAACUCUCUUAGUUGCAAAUGGCAGAAAAGCCAACUCAAACUGCCUUGAACCAGUAGGGCAAUGUAUUUGCUUGGAAGUAAUUCUCUGUAUAACUGUAUUCAUGAGCCCAGGCAAUGUCAUUAAAAUCAGGGUUCUUUCACCAGUCAUGUUUCCACAUUCCACAUUCUUGCCAACAAUUUUGUUUUAAAUAAUAUCCAUUCAAAUGGGUAUGACUUGAUAUUGCAUUGUGUUUGCGUUUCCCUGGUGAUUAGUGUGUGUUGAACAGAUGUUCAUAUGCUUGUUAGUCAUUUGUAUAUUUUCCUUGGAGAAAUGUCUAUUCAAAUCCUUUACCUAUAUUUUUUUCAUUUGCCUUUUCUUUUUAUUUCCUUUUUUAAAAUUUUUAUUUUAGUUUUAUUAGAGUAUAGUUGAUUUACAGUGUUGUGUCACUUUGUGCUGGCACAGUCAUAAAUAUAGAUACAUUCUCUUUUUCAUACUAUCCUCCGUCAUGUUCUAUCCCAAGAGAUUGGAUAUAGUUCCCUGUGCUUUAAGUCAGAAAGAGAAAGACAAAUACCAUAUGAUAUCACUUAUAUGUGGAAUCUAGAAUAUGGCACAAGUGAACCUAUAUAGAAUAUAGAAACAGACUCACAGACAUGGAGAACAGAUUUGUGGUUGCUAAAGGCAGGGGGAAGGACUGGGAGUUUGGGGUUUGUAGAUGCAAACUAUUACAUUUAGAAUUGAUAAGAAAUGAGGCCCUACUGUAUUUUUUAAUUUGGCUGUUUGGUUUUAGGUUAUGGAGUUAUAGGAUUUCUUUUUUCUGGAUAUCAAUUCCUCGUCAGUUAUAUGAUUAGCAAACAUUUUCACAUUAAUUUUUGUAAGGACUUUCUUAAUUACUGGCCCCGACCCUAGUCCCUGUCUUUAAUUUUUAAAGGAUCUGUAAAGAAAAAGAUGCCUUUUUCCAGGGGCAUAACAUUUUUAUACAAGGAGCCAAUUGAUAGUGCUCAAUCCAUGGUCAAGGAAGGAGAAUGACUGAAGACGGUCAUAGCAUGUGAAAGCAACAAGGUCAUAGAUAUUUCCUCUGGUGCUUGAUAUUAUUUUUACUUAGGAAAAACCAAGUCUCAGAGAGGGUAGAUGCACAGUUCUUAGGUAACAGAGCUAAUAAGUUGUGAAAAUGGAUUAUUAACUGCCUGACAUUAGAACUGGAAUCCAAAUACCAUGUGAGGUUCCCUCCCUAACUUAGCAUCAGGAAUUUAAUUUUAAAAAAUUAGUAAGUAGCCUAUUAUGAUAAAGGGGAGAAGGUGGCUAUGGUGGUACCUGGAAAAUCAAUCAGUUGACACAACCAGGUAUGUAAUAGCUAAGGAACAACACACUCACUGCUUGGAUUUUAAAUUGAUUCAUUCCAACAGCUUCCACCAUAAUCAACAGUAGCCCCCUGACCUCAAGGGCACCUUUCCUAUGCAUUUGUACCCAAGGUAGAUAGACACAGCCAGGCUUAGCCUCUCUUCAGGACUUUGCUGGGACUCCCUGCCCAUGUGGGAGCUGCACGGGAGAUAAUUUGGACUCAGAAUCUUCAGAUUUUGGGACAAAUUUCUGUAUUUCACAUAAACCCUGAAUUUCCCUAGAGCUGAUACAUAGUAGGAGGUAUAAAGUACAUUUACUAGAGAUCACACUUUUUUUUUCUUCCCUUCAUUCUGUUCCUUUGUCUUCUUCAUGUAUUCAUUUGGCCGUAACUUGACCUGUGAUCUCUGUCUAAACCCGGGCUGCCUGGGCGAGAGCACCAAGUCCUAACCACUAGACCACCAGGGAGCUCCUGCCUUCGUCUUCUUUAUUGUCUCUUUCUUUCCUUCUCUCUCCUAUCUUCUGCUCUUGGUCUCACCUUUUCUUCCUAUUGUUCACUUGAUCUGAUUCCUUUAGGGUCAAAUAUACCUGUUUUCAGAAGCUAUACUAUCAUCUUCCCAUUGCUUUUGCAUCAAAUAUUCUCUACUUAAUCUUAUGAUUGGUAUUUGUGUUAAUUUCUUGGCUUGAUAUCAUUUGGCUAAUUUGUGUGAUGUGAGUUCAGUGAAUGAUUCCCCAUCAGUGGUGGUCCCUCCUCCCCCUAUGCCUCUCCCUCCAGGUGCCCAGGCUCUGGCAGGCUCUGUAUGGCUGGGUACAGAGCACACAUUCAAAGUGAAAAGACAGAAACAUCCUCUACCAGGGUCUCUGUCCCUCGACAUCCUUCCAUGGUAUGUUGUGUUAUCAUCUUGGGAUUCUCAGGGUGUGGUAAUUGAUGCAUUUAUAGCUGAAGUAAAGACAGUGGCCCUAUAAAUGCAUUUUCUCUCCCUUUUCUACCUCCCAGCCCAAACAUGCAUGGAAAUCCAUCUUGCCAUAUGAAUGGUCAUAUUGGCUAAGUUGAAAUAAAGGAAGCUUGACAAUUUCUGUUUCCCUCUUUGAUUUUAAAUUUUAGGCCCAUGAAACAAAACAGUUAGAUCCUUUCAUCAUUAAGGAAUUUCAUCCAGACUGACCGCUCUUGACUUCACAUGGUGCCACCCUCUGAAUGAAUGGCAAAUAUCUUUGUCUUGUUUGAAAUCAGAUGUUUAAAACUUGAAUAUUUUGAAAACAUCUUUCAUCCCGAUAUUUGGCAUUAUAUAGACCUUUCACUGUGGAAGACCUUUGGGUGCCAGAUUGUGAUUAAGUGUGCAAUAGUCAGGAAGCAAUUUCUUUUCAUGGCUUUUCCUAAAGUUGAACUCUUCAGAAAGUAUUGUUAUUUACAUUAUACUGACCUCUGAAUCAACUCGUAUUUUAUCAUCCUUUUCUCUCUUGUUUUAGAGAUCCAGAUAAAUGCACAGCUUCCGAGGGGGAACAAAAAUAAGUCAGUGUUGUUAUGUUACAAUAGCAUUGCCAUUGCCUUUAUUGAUAUUAUAAUGUCAUCACCAUUAUCAUUAUUAGUGUUACAUUUUAAUUGGAGGGGAAAUGAUCCAAGAAAUGUGUUCUACUGUUAAUUAACUACUGGCUAUGAAAAACCCUAAUAUUAUAAAAUGUACCAGGACAGAG